CUGCCAAAAGACUAUACUACCCCUCAUUAAGUGCACAUGAAUCGUUGAUUUUCUGCUUGGGGCCAUGCGCUGUUAGGGCACUUACAAUGCAGACUCUAUCAUGGAGUCUAAAGUUAUUUAUUACCUCGAACAAUGUGGACUUGAAGUCUAAAUAAGACUUUGAGUCUUAUUUUUUCUACCUCUUUCUUUAAUAAAUACGGUGCCACAUCAGCAAAAUACCAUAAAUAAUAUGUAAUUAAUUGUCUUGGACUCUGUGAUAGAGUCUGCAUUGGGAGUGCCCUUAACCUGCUUCGGGCUACGUGCUGGCAGUCAUUUACUCAUCUAGCGGCUGUUAACCUGCGAUUGGAGGGGAAUGCGUGGUCCAGGUGAGAGACAGGAGAGAAGGCACGGUCGAGUAGUACUUCGUAAUAAUUAGAUGGGGAACACGAGGAGAUAUUAAACGAGGUGGUGGAUGGAGUACUCUACGAAUUCAUCUUUUAGGGCACUCCCAAUGCAAGACUCUAUCACAGAGUCCAAGAUAAUUAAUUAUAUAUUAUUUAUGGUAUU
rnacentral:lncRNA from 1 species